rnacentral:rRNA from 1 species
GACGAACGCUGGCGGCGUGCUUAACACAUGCAAGUCGAACGAAGUGGCGAACGGGUGAGUAACGAGUAAUCAACCUGCCCUUCAGAGGGGGACAACAGUGGGAAACGACUGCUAAUACCGCAUAAUGAGGGAGGGGAUUGCGUCUGAUUAGCUAGUGGGAGGGGUAACGGCCCACCAAGGCGAUGAUCAGUAGCCGGUCUGGGAGGAUGACCGGCCACAUUGGGACUGAGACACGGCCCAGACUCCUACUGGAGGCAGCAGUGGGGAAUCUUCCGCAAUGGACGAAAGUCUGACUGAGCAACGCCGCGUGAGUGAUGACGGCCUUCGGGUGGUAAAGCUCUGUUAAUCGGGACGCGGUACCGGAAUAGAAAGCCACGGCUAACUACGUGCCAGCAGCCGCGGUAAUAC